rfam:Schistosoma curassoni strain Dakar, Senegal genome assembly, scaffold: SCTD_scaffold0000231
AUUCAGAUGACGAGUCGCAAAUAGGAAGAAACGCGCGCCCUGGAU